UAAUUGGAAUUUGUUAAUCUUCUGAAAUGCAGCUGCUUAUAGGAUGAAACAAACCAACUACCAUACAACAGUAGCUGAAAACAGAAAGCACCGGAAAAAUCGAACAGUGAUACAUCCAGUUGAUAUAAAUUGUGGUUACAACCUGCAAGCAACAAGCAAGGCUGGAAACAUAGCAGUAUGUUAUAGGGAUGAGUUAGACUUUGUGCAAAGGAUCCAAGGAACUGAACAGCUGCAUUUCAUACACCUAUAGCAAUUUCUGAGGAUCUCCGUGAUUUAUGAGCAUUAGUAAAUGAAGACUGAACACCUCAUGAGGUACAGAAGAAUUGUUUUAUAGAUGAGGAAACCAAGGCACAGAGAGGCACCAUGGUCCCAAAUAUUAGAUCAUGACAGAGUCAAGAACAGAACCAAGAUCUCCUGACUCCCACUCCUGUGCUUUAAUCACAAGACCACCCUUUCCUCCCGGUUAGUAAUAGCAGCCUUUUGUUUAUAUUAAACUAAACAAUUCAGUUACCCAUUAAUGUACUUACUUUAUUUAUGGCACUUACAGGAUUUUUUUAUAGUUUUAUUGAUUAAAAUUUACUAAGUAAUUUCCUGAAAUAUUACUACUUAAUAAAGUAGUAAUUGCUUUACUGAGAAUUUUUUUUUCUGUUAGUAUAAGCCUGAUGUUCUUUACUGACUUAUGCCUGAGAGGCAGUAUAUAACUGGAUUGGUUUGGGUUGAGAGUUCACCUCAGGAGUCUGUGAGGAGAGCAGAUAUGAUGAUAUAAACAUUUUUAGUUUAGAAUCUUUAAG